rnacentral:rRNA from 1 species
GAGUUGAUCAUGGCUCAGGAAUCGAACGCUGGCGGCGUGCCUAACACGUGCAAGUCGAACGCGGUUAUCCAGCAAUGGAUAACUGAGUGGCGAACGGGUGAGUAACACGUGGGUGACCUACCUCCGAGUGGGGGAUAACGCAGCGAAAGCUGUGCUAAUACCGCAUACGAUCUACGGAUGAAAGCAGGGGACCGCAAGGCCUUGCGCGAAUGGAGCGGCCGAUGGCAGAUUAGGUAGUUGGUGGGGUAAAGGCUCACCAAGCCGACGAUCUGUAGCUGGUCUGAGAGGACGACCAGCCACACUGGGACUGAGACACGGUCCAGACUCCUACGGGAGGCAGCAGUGGGGAAUUGUUCACAAUGGGCGCAAGCCUGAUGACGCAACGCCGCGUGGGGGAUGAAGGUCUUCGGAUUGUAAACCCCUGUCGAACGGGACGAAAGACCCGGGAGCUAAUCAUCCUGGGAGUGACGGUACCGUUAAAGGAAAGCCACGGCUAACUCUGUGCCAGCCGCCGCA